GAAAUGUGAUAAGUAAUGUGAAUUGCAGAAUUCAGUGAAUCAUCGAAUCUUUGAACGCACCUUGCGCUCCCUGGUAUUCCGGGGAGCAUGUCUGUUUGAGUGUCAUGAACUCUUCAACCCACCGGUUUCUUGUAAACUGGCUGGUGUUUGGUUUCUGAGUGUUGCUCGUCCUUGUGACUGAGCUCAUUCGUAAUAUAUGAGCAUCUCUAAUUCGAAUUCGGAUUGACUCAGUGUAAUAGACUAUUCGCUGAGGACACACCUAGUGUGGCCGAAUAAGAUAAUUGUAGAAGCUUCUAACCCUUCUAGUCAUUUUAAGAUUAGACCUCAGAUCAGAUAGGACUACCCGCUGAACUUAA
rnacentral:misc_RNA from 1 species